CCUACGGGGGCUGCAGUGGGGAAUAUUGGGCAAUGGGCGCAAGCCUGACCCAGCAACGCCGCGUGAAGGAAGAAGGCUUUCGGGUUGUAAACUUCUUUUAAGAGGGAAGAGCAGAAGACGGUACCUCUUGAAUAAGCCACGGCUAACUACGUGCCAGCAGCCGCGGUAAUACGUAGGUGGCAAGCGUUGUCCGGAUUUACUGGGUGUAAAGGGCGUGUAGCCGGGCUGACAAGUCAGAUGUGAAAUCCCGUGGCUCAACCACGGAACUGCAUUUGAAACUGUCGGUCUUGAGUAUCGGAGAGGCAGGCGGAAUUCCUAGUGUAGCGGUGAAAUGCGUAGAUAUUAGGAGGAACACCAGUGGCGAAGGCGGGUUCCUGGACAUUAACUGACGCUGAGGCACGAAGGCCAGGGGAGCGAAAGGGAUUAGAUACCCUAGUAGUC
rnacentral:rRNA from 1 species